ACGCUUCUAGAACAUUUGGUGGAAGGACCGUUAGGCCAUAAAUGAAUCCUCAGGUACUCCGGCAAUAUACAUUGUCGCCAAGGUCGCCAUGUGUUUCCCUCAUCGGUCCAUCGGGUUCGAAGUAUCCCGAUCGGGACACCAUCCUCCCCGCGGUGUGUGUGUGUGUCCUGGUUUCUGACGUGAUUUACGUUACACAUGCAUCCUUAGUCCAUGCCGGGCGCUUACAGAAAACGCAUAUAUAUGUCCUUAGUCCACACCGAUAGCUUUCGCCAGACACCUAUAUGCGCCCACAGCACUCAAAGGGUUAACAAUCAGGACUCUCAAGUCCCGUAAAUGUCUUUGAUCCUUCGAGCCGGAUUAUGUGUCAAGUGAAAAGUCCACACCAGUGACACCCACUACCAUACAGUGCCACGUGAAUCCAUCACGUCCAAGCUGGACAAUCAUUAUCACAACGAGUUCCAACAAGUUCAACCUCAGACUCGCAUCAUUACGAGGGUCAACUACACCUAUACCACGAAGUACAUCUUGCGAAAAGCCACGCCUUGUAACAAGCAACAACUUGCCGCUGGAGCAAGCCUGCGUCGAAGCAGUUCCAGUUUCGCAACAACAAGGUAAGCUCGUUCUUUUUAUCGCCAAUCGACUAUCCGCUGCAACAAUAGCAACCGCAGACGACAUUAGCUCCGUGCGUCGGAGAUGAGGCUACCAAGUCGGCCGCUUCACGCUCGUAUCGAAACGACUAAACGAAUAAUCAAGAUAAGCCGCCUUAUUAUUCUACCAGCUGAACGACGCUUAGAAUUUGUUUCAACGUCAUCCAAAAGAGAAGCUAGAAGAUUUAGACGAGGAGGAAUACGCGCGCGUCCCCGAUAUAACGAACCAGCAUUAUGAUAUAGUAAUUGGGUAAAACAUCUCAUAGAUAGCGCACAAUCAGCAUCGCCGUCGAUAUCGACAAACUGCGUAUCAAUGUCUGUGUACGUGCUGGCUGCUCUACUUUCCAAGGAAAGAAACAGAAUGACGGCAAAGGCGGUGUGAACGUGGAAUGAAGAAAAUAACUAUGAGUGAAGCUAACCGUGGUUACAAAAGUUUUCUGUUUGACUAGGGUUUCCCAUCAAUCGCUACUACUACUAAACCAACCGAACCUACUGAACUUGUUCGAGUUUAUUGUUAUCUUGCAACAACCCUCCACUACCAAUAAAAAUACCAACAAAAAUAGGCGUGAAAUGCCAGGAUUAUUUAGACAGCCACGCCGCGAGACAAACAAGAUAUACAUCUUGACUUUUUUAAGUAGCACAAUAUAUUUUUGAUAUCAUAGCAUUGAUUUGUAGAUUUCGGUUUACAAUGGUGUUGUCAUUUUUUGAGGGUGGCAUUGAAAAAUAAUGCACGGUUAUCUUUUCAUAGCAACUUAUUAGGAAAAUCAAUCUGAAGUAUAAUAUGGCCUUCAAAAAUAACUAAAUAAAUUUCCACUGUAUGCUCAAAUAAAAAUGCAACUUCGAUUAACUGCAAAUUAAAAAAAAAUUUUUUUACGCAUCAUCUAGCAACGUAACUCUUUAAACUUUCCAAAAAACUUCAGAUCUGUUUUUACGAGUACUUGAAUGUUUUCGCGAGUCAGUGUAUAUGUAUGCGAAAUCACAGGAAAACAAAUGUUUUCGACUUUCUAAAUCCGAACAAAAGAUUUUUCAAUUGGAAAACAGAUGGUAUUAUUGUCUCACACAAAAUGGAGAACAUUUCGUAAACAUGUUAUGAAGAUCGUGCAAAACUAUUGCAAUUUUUUGCGCAAUAUAAAGGUAGCGUAAAAAUGGAAUUGUUAUUGGUUUUACCUUAUUAUCUAAUAACGAACAGAAAAAUUAAAGAAAUCUCAUUUGUAGCACAAGUCUUUCUCGCGUGUAGAAAAGCUGUAAUAAAUUUAUAUUUUAUUAAAUAUCUUUUAAGAUCAAGUCUGAUAAAAAGAAUGUUCCGUAUAAAAAUUCCAUUAUUCAGUUAAUUGCAUUUUAGCGUGUUCGUAUAUACCCAAAAUCAAUUGGAGUAGGAGACCACUUUACGCGCCGCUUACAAUAGCAAACAGUGCUAGGUAUCACGGGUACCUGCACGAGUCGCCAAUCUACUAAAUGGACGUGAUUGAACGACCCACUGAUAUCAGUAUCACGUCUCGACCAGGUCUAGUCGACCAAUUAUAGUCGACUCGACCAUAGUUGCUCUGACAGUAUAAACGUGACAUUCGAUGCUUUUUCGUGUCCCACGUUUUCCAGGCCAUCCGACCUCCGAUACCGAUUCAGCAUAGUAGUGGUUUGAAUUGACUAAACUAAAUUUUCAUUUUAAUUACUUUCUACUAUAUUCAACCGCAUUAUGAUAUAAGUGUUUAGAACUCCAAUUUUAACGCUCCAAUUUUUAUUUUGAUCUUCCAAUUGCAACAAUUGCUCAUUUUUCACUCGAUUGUAUGAAUUAAAGUAUAAGCUUGUUAAAUAGUAAUUUCUUAAAUGCAAAACCUUCUUUUUGCUAUUAGAAUACUACGAGUCAAAUUUUACUGCAAAAUUUUCCAACCAAAACAUUUUUAGAAAUUAAGAAAAUAUAAAAGGUUUUCGCUUGCAAUUUCCUUGGAAUCUAAUAUUACAAUUAACUAUACAUGUGUAUAUUAAAUCUUACGCUAUGUGUUAAUUCAUUUCUCGAUUUUUUAAUAAACUUUAUAAUGAUUGUCCUGUGUCAAUCAACGAUAAUUAUGGUAAGAAGCUUGCCCUCCUCACUGAUUUCGAUGAUUUUGUAAUAUUUUGUUGCGGAUAUGAUUCUGAAAAACUUUUUCCUAUGCAUGUAAUUACUGGUUGCAUAAAAUAAAAGGUAACCCGAACCUAAUUCUUAUCUCUUGUUUAUAGUACGUAUGUAUAAAUGAGAGUUAAGUAUAUCGCCGAUCCUUUUGACAAAGACUCAGUUCAUUACAGUCUGUAAAAGAUAUUUGUUAUCAGCCAAUGAAAAAUAAAUAUCGUCAAUGUUUUGGAUUUGGAGUUGAGUUACCUUUGUCAAUUAAUUCCACCAAAUGUCCAAAUUGGACAAAUUGUGAAUUUUAAUAAAUAAAUAAAUAAAAAAAAAAAACCUUUGUCAAUUCGGCCAACGCUUGCGUGAAAUAGUAACAGAUUAAUUGUAAAAAUAAUUACAAAUUUAAUAAUGAAUAAUGACAAAUAUUUUCGCAAUUACUCACACACGAGACUGUUAGUAGCGAUAGUAACAAAUAUAUAAAAACAUAAAAUGUAUAUUAUUCAUACACUAUUUACUUUGUAUUGCGUCACAAGUCGAAACACUUGCAUGUGCAGUUGUGAGCGAGAUUUCCGUAGAAGCUGUUUAUUUAGAUUUGAAAAGUAUAAUAUUUAGAUAAGGAGAUCGAUGGUUGAUGGAUGAUAACAGAUCGCCAAGCUGCGAACGAAGCGACGUACGUGUUGGCUAUGCUGCGAGUCUGUCACGGAUACACACACAUGGGCAGGAUUUAAUGUCUAGCAGACUUUUACCAGUAUCUCGGCAACUAAAGUUGACUGCCGUUUAUGUGCGCAGGAAAUAAUUAUUCAAAAUGUAGAGCUUCGCAAUAUAUUUCAAAAUCAAUGAAAUCGAAGAGAAAAUGGCUUUUUUACAAGUUUACUUUUAUUUCUUAUUUAUUUCAU